CCUACGGGAGGCAGCAGUGAGGAAUAUUGGUCAAUGGACGAGAGUCUGAACCAGCCAAGUAGCGUGAAGGAUGACUGCCCUAUGGGUUGUAAACUUCUUUUAUAUGGGAAUAAAACGUUCCACGUGUGGGCUUUUGUAUGUACCCUAUGAAUAAGGAUCGGCUAACUCCGUGCCAGCAGCCGCGGUAAUACGGAGGAUCCGAGCGUUCUCCGGAUUUAUUGGGUUUAAAGGGAGCGUAGGUGGAUUGUUAAGUCAGUUGUGAAAGUUUGCGGCUCAACCGUAAAAUUGCAGUUGAAACUGGCAGUCUUGAGUACAGGAGAGGUGGGCGGAAUGCGUGGUGUAGCGGUGAAAUGCUUAGAUAUCACGAAGAACUCCGAUUGCGAAGGCAGCUUACUGGACUGCAACUGACACUGAGGCUCGAAAGUGUGGGUAUCAAACAGGAUUAGAUACCCCUGUAGUC
rnacentral:rRNA from 1 species